AUGAUGCGGUGUUUUUGUUGCC
rnacentral:siRNA from 1 species